rnacentral:rRNA from 1 species
UACGAAGGGGGCUAGCGUUGCUCGGAAUCACUGGGCGUAAAGCGCACGUAGGCGGAUUGUUAAGUCAGGGGUGAAAUCCUGGAGCUCAACUCCAGAACUGCCUUUGAUACUGGCGAUCUUGAGUCCGGGAGAGGUGAGUGGAACUGCGAGUGUAGAGGUGAAAUUCGUAGAUAUUCGGAAGAACACCAGUGGCGAAGGCGACUCACUGGACAUGUGUUGACGCUGAGGUACGAAAGCGUGGGGAGCAAACAGG